rnacentral:rRNA from 1 species
UACGUAGGGUGCAAGCGUUGUCCGGAAUUAUUGGGCGUAAAGAGCUCGUAGGCGGUCUGUCGCGUCUGCUGUGAAAACUCAGGGCUUAACCCUGAGCUUGCAGUGGGUACGGGCAGACUUGAGUUCGGCAGGGGAGACUGGAAUUCCUGGUGUAGCGGUGAAAUGCGUAGAUAUCGGGAGGAACACCUGAGGCGAAGGCGGGCUACUGGGCUGAUACUGACGCUGAGGCGCGAAAGCCAGGGGAGCGAACGGG